rnacentral:rRNA from 1 species
AUUGAACGCUGGCGGCAUGCUUUACACAUGCAAGUCGAACGGUAACAGGCCGCAAGGUGCUGACGAGUGGCGAACGGGUGAGUAAUGCAUCGGAACGUGCCCAGUCGUGGGGGAUAACGCAGCGAAAGCUGCGCUAAUACCGCAUACGAUCUAUGGAUGAAAGCGGGGGACCGUAAGGCCUCGCGCGAUUGGAGCGGCCGAUGUCAGAUUAGGUAGUUGGUGGGGUAAAGGCUCACCAAGCCAACGAUCUGUAGCUGGUCUGAGAGGACGACCAGCCACACUGGAACUGAGACACGGCCCAGACUCCUACGGGAGGCAGCAGUGGGGAAUUUUGGACAAUGGGCGCAAGCCUGAUCCAGCAAUGCCGCGUGCAGGAAGAAGGCCUUCGGGUUGUAAACUGCUUUUGUACGGAACGAAAAGGCUCUGGUUAAUACCUGGGGCUCAUGACGGUACCGUAAGAAUAAGCACCGGCUAACUACGUGCCAGCCGCCGCCGUAAUAC